GUCUUAUUGAUAAUAAUUUUAAGUCAAUCUGCCCAAUGAAUUUAUUAAAUGGCUGCAGUAUAAUUAACUGUACAAAGGUAGCAUAAUCAAUUGAUUUUUAAAUGAAAUCUGGAAUGAAAGGAUUAAUGAAAUAUAUACUGUCUCAAAUAUAUAAUAUGAAUUUAAAUUUUUAAUAAAAAUGUUAAAAUUUUUUUAUGGGACGAUAAGACCCUAUAGAAUUUUAUAUAAAUUUAUUUUUAUAAUUAAUAUAAUUAUUAAAUUUAUAUUUAAUUGGGAGGAUUAUUAAAUUAAAAAAACUUUAAUUUUAAAAAACUUUAAUUAAAGAAAAUUUUAUGAUCUUAAAUUUUAAAUUAAUAGAAUAAAUUACCUUAGGGAUAACAGCGUUAUAUUUUUUUAUAGAUCAUAUAGAAAAAAAUGAUUGCGACCUCGAUGUUGAAUUAAGAUAAAUUUUUAAUGAAGAAGUUAAAUAAUUAAGUCUGUUCGACUUUUAAAAUCUUACAUGAUUUGAGUUCAAAUCGACGUAAGU
rnacentral:rRNA from 1 species